rfam:Oryza glaberrima chromosome 1 Oglab01_0313_23, whole genome shotgun sequence.
AAUAAGUGCAACCAUGAGUUUUCGCGUCCAAUUUUGAUCGUCCGUCUUAUUUGAAUUUUUUUUAUAAUAAGCAUUUUUGUUGUUAUAAGAUGAUAAAACAAGAAUAAUACUUUACUCGUGACUUAUGUUUUUAAUUUUUUUUUCAAAUUUUUUCAAAUAAGACGAAUGGUCAAAGUUGGGCGCGGAAAACUAUGGCUGCAUUUAUU